rnacentral:rRNA from 1 species
AGCGAACGCUGGCGGCAGGCCUAACACAUGCAAGUCGAACGAACCCUUCGGGGUUAGUGGCGGACGGGUGAGUAACACGUGGGAACGUGCCUUUAGGUUCGGAAUAACUCAGGGAAACUUGUGCUAAUACCGAAUGUGCCCUUCGGGGGAAAGAUUUAUCGCCUUUAGAGCGGCCCGCGUCUGAUUAGUUAGUUGGUGAGGUAAAGGCUCACCAAGGCUACGAUCAGUAGGUGGGCUGAGAGGAUGACCAGCCAAAUUGGGACUGAGACACGGCCCAAACUCCUACGGGAGGCAGCAGUGGGGAAUCUUGCGCAAUGGGCGAAAGCCUGACGCAGCCAUGCCGCGUGGAUGAUGAAGGUCUUAGGAUUGUAAAAUCCUUUCACCGGUGAAGAUAAUGACUGUAGCCGGAGAAGAAGCCCCGGCUAACUUCGUGCCAGCCGCCGCGGUAAAAC